UACGAAGGGGGCUAGCGUUGCUCGGAAUUACUGGGCGUAAAGGGCGCGUAGGCGGCCUGCUAAGUCGGACGUGAAAUCCCUCGGCUCAACCGAGGAACUGCGUCCGAUACUGGUGGGCUUGAAUCCGGGAGAGGGAUGUGGAAUUCCAGGUGUAGCGGUGAAAUGCGUAGAUAUCUGGAGGAACACCGGUGGCGAAGGCGGCAUCCUGGACCGGUAUUGACGCUGAGGCGCGAAAGCUAAGGGGAGCAAACGGGG
rnacentral:rRNA from 1 species